CGAUGUUAGAGUAUAGCGUCGCGACGCCGUGUGUAUCUCAGGCCCUUUGUCGAAGCACAUCGGUGCUAUGGCCCCAGCGUGCUUGAAGACCUCGGAGCACCAUGGUGCCAAAUGCAAUUAAGCCAAAUGUUGCUCUUGGGAAAAUGCAUCAAGCAUGGUUCCUGUCGGUGCCGCUAUGUCAUGCAUUCAGGGAAAAAUUGUGUAUGCGUACAAAUCUGGGUUGUUACAAAGACUGUCCGUUCAAGUGAAAAAGACUUUGUGUUAUUCCGAGAGGCAAAAUCUAUCUGUUCAAGGCUUCAAGUCGUUGCCGCCUGAGAUCUGUUGUCGUUCAAGUCGAUGAAAAUUUCCUUUGCCAUUUGAAAAGUAUGUUUGUGUAUGUUUGAAUGCUUUGAAUUUUAAGCUUGAAUAUGUUUGAAAAAUAUGUUUUAAUGCUUUGAA